rnacentral:rRNA from 1 species
UACGGGGGGGGCGAGCGUUGUCCGAAGUUACUGGGCGUAAAGCGCGUGUAGGCGGGUUGUUAAGUCCGCUGUGAAAUCCCCGGGCUCAACCUGGGAAUGGCAGUGGAAACUAGGAGACUUGAAUCUGGCAGAGGGGGGUGGAAUUCCACGUGUAGCAGUGAAAUGCGUAGAGAUGUGGAGGAAUACCGAUGGCGAAGGCAGCCCCCUGGGCCAAUACUGACGCUCAUGCACGAAAGCGUGGGGAGCAAACAGG